UAACUUGUUUCUCUUAUUUGAUGAGGUGAUUGAAUGGGUGGGUUAACUCAAUGUAGUUCAUAUAGUGAUUGAUAAUGCAACAAAUUAUGUGGUCACGGGGAGAUUGAUUUCUUAGAAACAUAAACACAUCAAUUGGUCAUCUUGUGCAACUCAUUGUCUUAAUUUGAUCUUUAAGGAUAUUGGUAAGAUGGACCAUAUUGCUUAACUUGUAAGACGUGCAUCAAAGGUGAUAAUUUUUGUGUAUAAUCAUGUUGCUUUGUUAAGUUGGUUGAGAAAAAGAAAUGGAUGGACAAAAAUUCUCCGACCUGGUGUAACUUGCUUUGCUACUUCAUUCAUUGCACUCAAGAGUCUUCAUGAUCAUAAACAUGAUUUGCAGGCUUUGGUGACUAGUAAGUUCUUUGUGACUCUAGAUAUUCAAAGGAUAAUAAAAGCAAAGUUGUAGUUUCCAUCAUAUUGGAUAAUAGAUUUUGGAAUGAUUGUUUGAUUGUUAUGAAUCUUAUGUCUCCACUAAUGCGCUUAUUGCGUAUUGUUGAUUGUGAUGAGAGACCUUUGAUGGGAUAUGUGUAUGAAGGCAUGUAUAGGGUUCGUUUAGGCAUCAAGAAAUUGUUUAACUACAAGAAAAAACUAUACAAGCUUUAUAUAAAAAUCAUAAAGCAACGUUGGGAUCAACAACUAAAGAAAAACAUUCAUUCAGUAGCUUAUUAGUUGGAUCCAUGUUUCCAAUAUGAUCAAGAAAACUUUUGUAAUAAGCUAACUGUUAUUGUAGGUGUCAUGGAUGUUAUUGAUCAGAAAGUUUUGAAAGGCAAGCUUGAUACAAUGAAUGAAAUAAAGUUGUUUUGUGAUCGAAUGUGAAGUUUUGGAAAAGACCUUGCUUAUUCUUCAUGUGAAAUACUUCAACCUGAUGAAUGGUGGAGGCUACAUGGAUACAGUGUACCACAUUUGUAAAAGUUGACCAUUCAAAUAUUGAGCCAAACUGCAUCGUCUUCUGGAUGUGAAAGGAAUUGAAGUGUCUUUGAACGUAUACAUACCAAAAGAAGGAAUAGAUUGGAACAUCAAAGGCUUAAUGAUUUUGUAUACGUUCAUUAUAAUUUGCGACUAAAAAAUCGGUAUAAAUGCUUUCUUGGUGUUUUGAAUUUAAA